AUUGAACGCUGGCGGCAUGCCUUACACAUGCAAGUCGAACGGCAGCGCGGGGCAACCUGGCGGCGAGUGGCGAACGGGUGAGUAAUAUAUCGGAACAUACCCUAGAGUGGGGGAUAACGUAGCGAAAGUUACGCUAAUACCGCAUACGCACUAAGGUGGAAAGUGGGGGAUUCGCAAGAACCUCAUGCUCAUGGAGUGGCCGAUAUCUGAUUAGCUAGUUGGUGAGGUAAAGGCUCACCAAGGCAACGAUCAGUAGCUGGUUUUGAGAGAACGACCAGCCACACUGGAACUGAGACACGGUCCAGACUCCUACGGAGGCAGCAGUGGGGAAUUUUUGGGACAAUGGGGGCAACCCUGAUCCAGCAAUGCCGCGUGAGUGAAGAAGGCCU
rnacentral:rRNA from 1 species